UUCAGACGAUGCGUCAUGCAUAUCAAUAAGCGGAGGAAAAGAAACUAACAAGGAUUCCCUUAGUGACGGCGAGUGAAGCGGGAAGAGCUCAAAUUUGAAAUCUUCAAGGUUUUACCUUGACGAAUUGUAGUUUAAAGAAGUGUUUUCUGUUGAAGUUUUGGUAAAAGUUCUUUGGAAUAGGACAUCAUAGAGGGUGAGAAUCCCGUAUUUGACCAUUAUUUUCAGCUGUGUGAUACACUUUCAAAGAGUCGGAUUGUUUGGGAAUGCAGUCCAAAAUGGGUGGUAAAUUUCAUCUAAAGCUAAAUAUUGGCGAGAGACCGAUAGCGAACAAGUACCGUGAGGGAAAGAUGAAAAGAACUUUGAAAAGAGAGUUAAACAGUACGUGAAAUUGUCAAAAGGGAAGCGUUUGACACCAGUGUUGUUUUCUCGAAAAUCAAUUAAAAAUGAGUUAGAUUUUGUAUGUGUAUUGACCUUAACAGCUUGCACUGUACAUUUUUCGUGUCUUUUUUAAUGCACUUUUCGUUUAACAAGUCAACAUCAGUUUCUUUUGUUGUAAAAAGGUCAUUGGAAGGUGGCUUUCUUUUCGGAGAAAGUGUUUAUAGCCUUUGACUCCUGCAAUCGGAGAGACUGAGGUCUGCAGCGUAGACUCCUUCGGGGUUAGAUACAUUUGUGCUAAGUUAUAGCUUUUUAUAGACAACUUGUUGACUAUGAUUAGUCUUGUAGCUUACUCGCUUAUGCUAUUUUACCUACGCUUAGGAUGUUGAGUCGUAGAGCACGCAG
rnacentral:rRNA from 1 species